rnacentral:rRNA from 1 species
AGUGAACGCUGGCGGUAGGCCUAACACAUGCAAGUCGAACGGCAGCACAGUAAGAGCUUGCUCUUACGGGUGGCGAGUGGCGGACGGGUGAGGAAUACAUCGGAAUCUACUUUUUCGUGGGGGAUAACGUAGGGAAACUUACGCUAAUACCGCAUACGACCUACGGGUGAAAGCAGGGGAUCUUCGGACCUUGCGCGAUUGAAUGAGCCGAUGUCGGAUUAGCUAGUUGGCGGGGUAAAGGCCCACCAAGGCGACGAUCCGUAGCUGGUCUGAGAGGAUGAUACAGCCACAUGGAAACGAGACACGGUUCCAGACCCCUAGGGAGGGCGCAAGGGGGAUAUAUGGACAAUGGGGGCAAGCCCGAACCCAGCCAUACCGCUUGGUUAAAGAAGCCUUUCGGUUUUUAAACCCCUUUUUUGGGAAAGAAAAGCCACCGGUUAAUAACCCGGUGUUUCGGAGGGAACCAAAGAAAUAACCACCGCUUACUUCGUG